UACGUAGGGGGCAAGCGUUGUCCGGAAUCAUUGGGCGUAAAGCGCGUGUGGGCGGUUCAGUAAGUCUGCUGUGAAAGUCCAGGGCUCAACCCUGGGAUGCCGGUGGAUACUGCUGGGCUAGAGUACGGAAGAGGCGAGUGGAAUUCCCGGUGUAGCGGUGAAAUGCGCAGAUAUCGGGAGGAACACCAAUUGCGAAGGCAGCUCGCUGGGACGUUACUGACGCUGAGACGCGAAAGCGUGGGGAGCAAACAGG
rnacentral:rRNA from 1 species